rnacentral:rRNA from 1 species
GUGGGGAAUCUUCCGCAAUGGACGAAAGUCUGACGGAGCGACGCCGCGUGAGUGAAGAAGGCCUUCGGGUCGUAAAGCUCUGUCAUCAGGGACGAACGGCCGGUGGAGUGGAAAGCCACCGGAUUGACGGUACCUGAGAAGGAAGCCACGGCUAACUACGUGCCAGCAGCCGCGGUAAUACGUAGGUGGCAAGCGUUGUCCGGAAUUAUUGGGCGUAAAGCGCGCGCAGGUGGGAUCUUAAGUCCAUUUUGAAAGUUCGGAGCUCAACUCCGUGAUGGGAUGGAAACUGGGAUUCUUGAGUACCGGAGAGGAAAGCGGAAUUCCCCGUGUAGCGGUGAAAUGCGUAGAUAUGGGGAGGAACACCAGUGGCGAAGGCGGCCUGCUGGACAUUAACUGACGCUGAGGAGCGAGAGCGUGGGGAGCAAACAGGAUUAGAUACCCGAGUAGUCC